GGGAGUAAUAUUUAUGGAGGGAGUUAUUAAGGAUACUACAGCAGCAACCGCAGCAACAUCAGAUAACACAUCACCAUCAUCAACAUUAGUCUCAUGUGCAACACAUUACUCACCACACCCACGUGACACUAAAAGUCUGAAACUGUCCAUGAUAAAAUGCCUCAGCUUUGUGACUGCAGCAACAAAGAAGGAAAGGACAUAUGAUAGUAGUGUAACAUCUAGUCCUUGUGAUGGAGCAGAGAAAUACUGGAAUAGUGCUGAUCACUUGAUAGUGACAACUAGCUAACUUAUAUACUAUAGUUAGAUUAGAAUUAAU
rnacentral:lncRNA from 1 species